AACGAACGCUGGCGGCAGGCUUAACACAUGCAAGUCGAACGCCCCGCAAGGGGAGUGGCAGACGGGUGAGUAACGCGUGGGAACGUGCCCUUCGCUUCGGAAUAGCCCCGGGAAACUGGGAGUAAUACCGGAUACGCCGUAUUGGGAAAGAUUUAUCGGCGAAGGAUCGGCCCGCGUUAUAUUAGCUAGUUGGCGGUGUAAUGGACCACCAAGGCUACGAUCUAUAGCUGGUCUGAGAGGAUGAUCAGCCACACUGGGACUGAGACACGGCCCAGACUCCUACGGGAGGCAGCAGUGGGGAAUCUUGGACAAUGGGCGCAAGCCUGAUCCAGCCGUGCCGCGUGGGUGAAGAAGGCCUUAGGGUUGUAAAACUCUUUCGCCGGAGAAGAUAAUGACGGUAUCCGGAGAAGAAGCCCCGGCUAACUUCGUGCCAGCAGCCGCCGUAAUAC
rnacentral:rRNA from 1 species